rnacentral:rRNA from 1 species
UGCCAGCCGCCGCGGUAAUACGAAGGGGGCUAGCGUUGUUCGGAAUUACUGGGCGUAAAGCGCACGUAGGCGGACUUUUAAGUCAGAUGUGAAAUCCCAAGGCUCAACCCCGGAAGUGCAUUGGAAACUGGCGAACUUGAGUACGGGAGAGGAAAGUGGAAUUCCGAGUGUAGGGGUGAAAUCCGUAGAUAUUCGGAGGAACACCAGUGGCGAAGGCGGCUUUCUGGACCGAUACUGACGCUGAGACGCGAAAGCGUGGGGAGCAAACAGGAUUAGAUA